UCGAGGUUCACGCCGAACAGCCUGAGCCGGCGUGUCGGUGCCGAGGCUGGGCUGCAGCUCCUGGUGUCUGCGUCCCACUGGGAUUCUCCUGCGAUUGUUCAUUCACCAGAAAUGGCGUUAGAGCGUUCAUGGUGAUGGUGCUUCAAGUUCCCAAACGCCGGGAUGAGAACUGGACCUGCACAGAGAUCGUGCACCCUUCUCCAGUUUCCAACGGAUUGUGAAUCAGGUUUGGUUUCUCCAUGCACAUGAAUGAGUUGGUAUCCCAUGGAAUUGAAUACAAGAUAACUCAAGAUAAGGGGACACAUGCUAAUGCUCCUAGUUUAGUUAUCCCUGUGGUCUCAGCUCCUUUCCAAGAAGCGAUGCAUGUUUUGCCAAGCUCAUGCAGAUGUGGGAGUAGGCGCCUUGAGUGCGGCAUGUUACUCCCCCCUAUUCACAAAUAUAUACAUGCCACCAUGGGAAGUGUGCAAUUAAGCAUUGCCAAUCUUGGACCUUUUAAUAUUGCAAAACCAAAGGGUAUCCAGAUGCCUUCAUUUGAAAUGAUAAUUGCCCCUUAUGGGGUUAACGUUCGGAUGGAAAAUAUAUUCAUAAAAAGAAACCCAGCAUCCUAGCUGUUUGCUGACAUAUCAUUACCUCUUGGAGACUGAGGCUAUGUUAAAAGGCUAAAAUGUCAUGUCAACCUAAUAUGUAGAGCAUUAUGAUUGCAUUAGCUUAAGAGCCAUGAACCUAUGGUUUCUUGCAUCUAACACUCUGUGGUGAUGGGCUGGCGAGCAUCUACAGUGUGCUUCUGUUUUAUCUAGCACUGCCGCCUAUUUAUAUCCUUGUUUUAAGCAGCCGCCUGUUUACAUUGAAAACUCAUUUCAAGAUUCCACUGCAUGGUUCCCAUGGUUUGGACUUUGGAGUGAUAAAACCCUCCAAAAUUAGUUGAGCUCGUUUUGUCAUGGAUACUUUUGUGUUUUAUAGAGAGAAUCACGAAUCACAAUUGUUUACCCUUGUUCAAUUCAUUUUAUUAUAAGAUGUGAGCAUUCGUGUAUUGGGACCAUGGUGCGCACAGCUGCUUCUA